rfam:Oryza sativa (indica cultivar-group) chromosome 3, whole genome shotgun sequence.
AAAAACUAAAUUCCUGCGUUUCCGUGUCUAACAUUUAACCGUUCGACUUAUAUAAAAAAUUAUAAAAAAAUUUAAAAAGAUAAGUUAUGCAUAAAGUAUUAUUCAUGUUUUAUCAUCUAACAAUAAUGAAAAUACUAAUCAUAAAAAAAUUUCAUAUAAGACGGACGGUCAAACAUUAAACACCAAAACCUAGGAAUUGAGUCUUU